rnacentral:lncRNA from 1 species
CUAGGUCGUGUGGCGGAGGUGAGGAAGGAGAAUCGGCGGGGGCUGCAGUUAUGGGGGGCGGCGUCGGGCGCUCAGGGGCCCGCGGGCUCCGGGAACAUCUCUAGGCGCUGCCCGGGACCUGUGCCUGUUGCCCUGCGGCCCAGAGGGGCCGCCAUCUCCGGUCGGGACUGGGAGUGGGGUAACUCCCGGACCCGCAACUCCGGGGCCCUGGCCCCGAACUUGGCUGCCGUCCGGACUCCGGGGCUUGAGACCGAUGGACACACAGAUAGACGGACACUGGGCUGCGGCUGUCCAAGUCCGGGGUGGAUCGGGUUGGCCAGCUCUGGAGAAGACUGACAGCUCGGCCCCCGGGGGCGGGGCGGGGCCGGCCCGACUCGUUAAAGGGAAAGAGCUGCCUGUUUGCGCCGAGAUGGGCCAGCAGCCGGGGCGCCUGGGGCUGAGCAGAGAGGGCAGAGGCUUUUUCUCUCGCCGGAUCCAUCAGCUCUUUCCAGCGUCUGGUGCAGAAAAAAACCUGGGAUGAGGAGAGUUCCCUGAAUUCCUGGGUACCGGCCCCACCUCGCUCCUAAAACCUGAGCCUGCUAGACUAAUGUGAAUAACAAUACAUUUCUAUAGCACUUUCAGCUAACAAGGUGUGUUUU